AUCCUUAAUUGCAAACCCGCUGAAAAGCGGCGGCGCAAAGCUAAAGGGGCUAAGGCAAAAACAUUGCUAAUGCCAGCCAGCUGCCGGG
rnacentral:ncRNA from 1 species